rnacentral:rRNA from 1 species
GUAGAGUAACACGUAAACAACCUGCCUUCAGGAUGGGGACAACAGACGGAAACGACUGCUAAUACCGAAUAAGUUCCAAGAGCCGCAUGGCCCAUGGAAGAAAAGGUGGCCUCUACCUGUAAGCUAUCGCCUGAAGAGGGGUUUGCGUCUGAUUAGCUGGUUGGAGGGGGUAACGGCCCACCAAGGCGACGAUCAGUAGCCGGCCUGAGAGGGUGAACGGCCACAUUGGGACUGAGACACGGCCCAAACUCCUACGGGAGGCAGCAUG